rnacentral:lncRNA from 1 species
CUCGUGUCUAUCCUUCCCCCUUCUAGACCUUUCACUAGCCACCAUGGCAUCCUGGGGAACGUCCAUACUAUCUCUCACCAUUCGUUUCCUCUGCUCAUUUGUCUGAAGGACCGACACUAUCUCUUUAUAAACUAAUAUCUCCUUUCCGUACAGUAAAGUCAUCACCAGUAGAUCGUAGCUCUCAGAUAGCAAGCACAGC